rnacentral:rRNA from 1 species
UACGUGGGGUGCGAGCGUUGUCCGGAAUUAUUGGGCGUAAAGAGCUCGUAGGCGGUCUGUCGCGUCGAUCGUGAAAACUUGGGGCUUAACCCUGAGCUUGCGGUCGAUACGGGCAUGACUGGAGUUCGGCAGGGGAGACUGGAAUUCCUGGUGUAGCGGUGAAAUGCGCAGAUAUCAGGAGGAACACCAGUGGCGAAGGCGGCUCACUGGCCCGGUACUGACGCUGAGGUGCGAAAGCGUGGGGAGCAAACAGG